rnacentral:lncRNA from 1 species
CCUAGCCUCCUGUCACCCCCACCAUCGAAACUCCGUUGGGCUUCACGUUUUUCCUUCCAUUCGAAGUGAAAAACUCACCCUCGCAACAAGCUUCGACGACUCAUGACUUCAGGUAAUGGUUCGAAUCCAUUCUCAAGUUUCCAACAUUCCAACCACAUAGAAAACAUUCCAACCACAUAGGGUCAUUGUACUAGGUGUC